rnacentral:rRNA from 1 species
GCACCGGCUAACUCCGUGCCAGCAGCCGCGGUAAUACGGAGGGUGCGAGCGUUAAUCGGAAUUACUGGCGUAAAGACGCAUGCAGGUGGUUUGUUAAGUCAGAUGUGAAAGCCCGGGGCUCAACCUCGGAAUAGCAUUUGAAACUAGGCAGACUAGAGUACUGUAGAGGGGGUAGGAAUUUCAGGUGUAGCGGUGAAAAUGCGUAGAGAUCUGAAGGAAUACCGGUGGCGAAGGCGGCCCCCUCGGACAGAUACUGACACUCAGAUGCGAAAGCGUGGGGAGCAAACAGGAUUAGAUACCCUGGUAG